rnacentral:tRNA from 1 species
AUAAGACCUGCAGGACUCUACCCCACAUCUUCUGAAUGCAACCCAGACACUUUGACUAAGCUAAGACCUU